rnacentral:rRNA from 1 species
UACGGGGGGGGCAAGCGUUGUUCGGAAUUACUGGGCGUAAAGGGCUCGUAGGCGGCCAACUAAGUCAGACGUGAAAUCCCUCGGCUUAACCGGGGAACUGCGUCUGAUACUGGAUGGCUAGAGGUUGGGAGAGGGAUGCGGAAUUCCAGGUGUAGCGGUGAAAUGCGUAGAUAUCUGGAGGAACACCGGUGGCGAAGGCGGCAUCCUGGACCAAUUCUGACGCUG